rnacentral:rRNA from 1 species
GAUGAACGCUGGCGGCGUGCCUAAUACAUGCAAGUAGAACGCUGAAGGAGGAGCUUGCUCUUCUGGAUGAGUUGCGAACGGGUGAGUAACGCGUAGGUAACCUGCCUGGUAGCGGGGGAUAACUAUUGGAAACGAUAGCUAAUACCGCAUGACAACAGUUAUUGCAUGAUAACUGUUUAAAAGGGGCAACUGCUCCACUACCAGAUGGACCUGCGUUGUAUUAGCUAGUUGGUGAGGUAACGGCUCACCAAGGCGACGAUACAUAGCCGACCUGAGAGGGUGAUCGGCCACACUGGGACUGGGACACGGCCCAGACUCCUACGGGAGGCAGCAGUAGGGAAUCUUCGGAAAUGGACGGAAGUCUGACCGAGCAACGCCGCGUGAGUGAAGAAGGUUUUCGGAUCGUAAAGCUCUGUUGUAAGAGAAGAACGAGUGUGAGAGUGGAAAGUUCACACUGUGACGGUAUCUUACCAGAAAGGGACGGCUAACUACGUG